AUAUCACUUUGGGGACCCUCUUAUCAAUCUGGGGACACCUCUGUCACCUUGGGGUGCUCCCCCCCCCCAUCACCUCGAAGACUCUCUUAUCAGUUUAGGGACACCUCUUAUCACCUUGGGGACUCUCUUAUCACUUUGGGACCCUCUUAUCAAUUCGGGGACCCUCUUGUCGCCUUGAGGACCCUCUUAUCAAUUUGGGGACCCCCCCUCACCUUGGGGACCCUCUUAUCAAUUUGGGGAUCCUCUUAUCAAGCUGGGGACAUCUCUGUCACCUUGGGGACCCCCUUAUCAAUUUGGGGACCCGUUAUCAAUUUAGGGACACCUCUAUCAGGUUGGGGACCCUCUUGUCACCUUGGGGACCCUCUUAUCAAUUUGGGGACACCUCUUACCACCUUGGGGACUCCCUUAUCAAUUUAAGGAUCCCCUUAUCACCUUGGGGACACCUCUAUCAGGUUGGGGACUCUCGUGUCACCUUGGGGACCCCCUUAUCAGCUUGGGGACCCCCUUAUCAACUUGGGGACACCUCUAUCAGGUUGGGGACUCUCGUGUCACCUUGGGGACCCUCUUAUCAGCUUGGGGAUCCCCUUAUCAACUUGGGGACACCUCUAUCAGGUUGGGGACUCUCGUGCCACCUUGGGGACCCUCUUGUCCCCUUGGGGACACCCUUAUCAAUUUGGGGACACCUCUUAUCACCUUGGGGACCCCCCGUAUCGAUUUGGGGACCCCAGCAGUGUCACCGUGCCGAUGCCAUUUAUUGCGCAGCGCCCCCAUCCCAGCGACGGACAAAAUGUCCCCAAAUGUCACCGGGGCGGUGCCAAAUGUCCCCAAAUGUCACCGACGCCACCGCCGGGGACGCAGCACCGUGUCCCCCUUGCCACGUGCUGGUCCCAUGUCCUCACGGCGUCGGUGUCCCCUCGGUGUCCCCAUGGAGUCGAUGUCCCCUCGGUGUCCCCAAGCUGUCCCCAAGCUGUCCCCAAGCUGUCCCCUACCCACGCGUGUCCCGCAGCGCCCGCUCCUCCUGGAUCCGCAGCACCCGCUGCUUCAGUGCUGCCAUCUCCCGGCGCUGGGGACGUGGGGACAAAGGGACAGACGUGGGGACAGGGAUGGGGACAUGCGGACGUGAGAACAAAGGGACAGACGUGGGGACGUGGGGACAGGGAUGGGGACAUGGGGAUGAAGGGAUAGAUGUGGGGACGUGGGGACAGGGAUGGGGACAUGGGGACACUUUGGGGACACACUGGCGACAUGUUGGGGACACAUUGGGGACACAUUGGGG
rnacentral:lncRNA from 1 species